rnacentral:rRNA from 1 species
CGGGACGGGUGGGUAACGCGUGGGUAACCUGCCUCAUACAGGGGGAUAACAGUUGGAAACGACUGCUAAUACCGCAUAAGCGCACGGGAUUGCAUGAUCCAGUGUGAAAAACUCCGGUGGUAUGAGAUGGACCCGCGUCUGAUUAGCCAGUUGGCGGGGUAGCGGCCCACCAAAGCGACGAUCAGUAGCCGACCUGAGAGGGUGACCGGCCACAUUGGGACUGAGACACGGCCCAA